rnacentral:tRNA from 1 species
UAGCUCAGUGGUAGAGCACAUGCUUGGUUAGCAUGAGGUCCUGGGUUCCAUCCCCAG